UAAACAUACAUCCGGUAAUUAUCAAUCAAGCACCCCCCACUCCCUUAACAGUAACAGCUGCGAGCACCAGAGCAGCGAGGACAGCAGAAUCGGAGAGGCCCGGCAACGUCAUCAAUCAUCGUCCUGAAUGCUGCUAUCCAGGAACUGUUUGUGUGUUCGCUGCGGCUGCUUAUCUCCACUCCUUCGUCUCCCACACCCCCCAUCGAUGGCGAGCUCCGGGGGAAGAUUUAGGCCAAGCCGGCUUGAUGAAAUAGAAGAGUCUUAAGCGCGUGGCGGAAGGUGCGCAGAUCCGGGAUCCUCCGUAUCUCCAGGGGGAGCUCGUUCCAGAUGGGCCAUCUUUGGAAUCACACCAGGCAGUGUGAGAAAGGGGAAGGAGGUACAGCUGGCCAUCCAGAGCCAUAGCUCCAGUGGGGAAUCUGAACUUUACAUAAAUAUUUUAUUCCAUUA